rnacentral:rRNA from 1 species
UACGUAGGGACCGAGCGUUGUCCGGAAUCAUUGGGCGUAAAGAGCGUGUAGGCGGCCCCUUAAGUCCUGCGUGAAAUCCUGCGGCUCAACCGCAGACGGUCGUGGGAAACUGGAGGGCUAGAGUGCGGGAGGGGAGAGUGGAAUUCCCGGUGUAGCGGUGAAAUGCGCAGAUAUCGGGAAGAACACCCGUGGCGAAGGCGGCUCUCUGGAACGCAACUGACGCUGAGACGCGAAAGCGUGGGGAGCAAACAGG